rnacentral:misc_RNA from 1 species
UUCAGAUAGGCUCUCUGCAAUGAUCUGUUAGCAGGAAGAAAUUAAUUCAUUUUUCUAUGAACCAGGAAUUGCCAGUGUAACAGUUGUGCAAAUUUAAGUGAUGUAUUAUCUGAAGCUAAAUCAGUUCCAAAUUCAGACAUUCCAAUCAUCUCAUAGUCAAAACCCUCAGGGUUUCUUUUUCUUUUAAUCCAUGUCUAGUGCAAUUAGAAAUUUACCAAUGAAAUCAAGGAAAUCAAACUAUUAUUAUUGUGGUGAUUUAAUUUUUCAACAUAAAAUUAGGAACUUUACUUUCAUUAAUUAGAAAGUUCAUAUUAUUUAGGACUUUACUAUUAUUUAGGUUGUAGUGUUUUUAUCUUAUUUAGAAAGAAAUAUGGGUUUGGGUUCCUAAUUAGAAUUUGAUUAGUAUUUCUUGUUUAGCAUUCCAAAUCCUAAUAAUAUUUUCUACUAUAAAUACCUAUGUCCUUUAGGCAAACUAUUAUUAUGAUUAUAAUUGAUAUUGAAAAUUAAUAAAGUGUUGAUAAUUUGUUUUUAUUGAAAAUUUGUUUAUUG